rnacentral:rRNA from 1 species
UACGUAGGUGACAAGCGUUGUCCGGAUUUACUGGGCGUAAAGAGCGCGCAGGCGGUCGUUCAAGUCGAGUGUGAAAGCCCCCGGCUCAACUGGGGAGGGUCAUUCGAUACUGAUCGACUCGAAGGCAGGAGAGGGAAGUGGAAUUCCCGGUGUAGUGGUGAAAUGCGUAGAUAUCGGGAGGAACACCAGUGGCGAAGGCGACUUCCUGGCCUGUUCUUGACGCUGAGGCGCGAAAGCUAGGGGAGCAAACAGG